AAACAGGCAUUCGGCACCUGCCAAGACACUUCCACUGAUGGGGAGCUCAAUUUUAUUACGUUAAAUUGACUUUCGUUUACUUUUACAGUAAGUGCUUUGGAAUAGGGCUCUCACCUCUAUAUUUGUGCAAUUUCUUUUUCAGGCAUCCUGUUCCAAUGCUCUUCCUUCUAUACACUGAAAUCUUCCUUCUAGUAAUUCCCCAUCUCUGCUCUUUUUCUUGCUCCCUGGAGCAGACUAAAACAAAUCUGUGGCUUCUCCUAUAUGACAACUAUUUUAUAUCCGAAGACAUUUAUCAAUUUCUUCAGCAAUUCUCCAGGUCUUUCCAGAUUUAAUUAUUAUUCAGCUGCUCCUCUAAUGAGAUCAAUACACUUUAUUGUAGGUACACAGGUUGUCAAUGUUCUUUCUUUACGUGGCACCCAGAGUCAUCUGCAUCCUCUGAAUAAAACAGAACAAAAUUGCUUGUUUUUCCUCCUCUACCUCUUCUUCGUUUUGUAGUUGCAGGUCAUUCUUACUGCAUUAAAUCGAAUUUGUUUUCUCACUCAAAGUAAGUAAUUUGGAACAGGGCCGAGAGCCCUAUUUUUGUACAAUUUGUUUUUGAACCAAAGGAGAGGUAUCAUCUGCCUUUCUCCUUUUAUUAUUUCCUCUGUAAGUUCAGUCCUUUCCUUCUAGUCAGUUGCUGUAAACCUUUAUGCUUUUAUUUAGGCUGUUUAUUCAUCACUCAAUGGUCUUCUACUGAGAUACUCGUCAGUACCUUGGUUUGUGAUAGCUGCUUGGAACAAAAAGCUGGGUAAACCCCAGCACUGGCCCUUAAAGAGUUUUCAGGCUACUGGGUGAGGCUGUGGUUUAAAGCAGUCUCUUUCAGGUAACCUCAGGCUAUUUGAGAAGCAUGCUUAUUUUUCAGGGUUUCUCCUAUACCCUUCUUCAACAUUUCAAGAGGACACUUGGGAAAAUAGACUGUGUGGCCCUGCGGUGUCAGGGGAGCAUUGUCUGGUUCCCAUGCUGUCUUCUGCUGCGGACUUCCUCAGCAUGUUGAUGCUUUUAUUGGGUCUGGAUGUCAAGGAUAUCGAUGCUCUUAUUGUCAUCCUCUGUAAUGACCUCAGGUGUUUCUGUGGCCUCCAGUCUUGAGGUCCACAUUCUGAAUGUGCCCUCAUGUUGACUCCUGGCUUCCUCCAAGCUCAGGAUUUCCAUGUUACCUGAGGGCCAGUGGCAAUAAUGCACUGUGGCCCUCUCUCCAGUUGGUAGUGACAUGUGAGAGAUAGCCUGAGCCACGUCUUGGCUUCCCUAUGACUUUCUCACUACAAUGGAUUGUUAUUCCAUGCUUACUAUGGAACUUCUUUGAGGGGCUUGCAGACUCCCUAGGCUUUUUCUGAGGAUUCAAGGAUUCCAGUUCUGUUUUACUUAUUUUCUCAUAAAUGAGAUUAGGUUUCUAUACCCUCCAGCUUGACAUUUUACAUGAAGGGGUGAGCUGGAACUCGGAUAGUCAUGUUGUACAUCUUGAAUAGUCAUUCUGUUCUUCUAUCUUUAACACUCAAACUCCUCCCAAGCACUCUGGUGGCUCUCUGAGCCAUCAUUUUCCUGCUGUGAGAACUUCCCUGCAUCAGUCACUUCUCACAAUUUUUAUAAUCUGCUCUGUAAGUGCCUUCAAGUUCUGCCUCAAUGAAAGUCAUAAGACAUUUUUUGUUUGUUUUGUUUUUUUCUCUGUCAACAAAACCAGUCAUCUGUACAUCGAAAGCAUUUCCCUUCAUACCACUGUCUUACUGUAUUCUUGGAACAGUAUUCCAGAACUCAAAGCAACAGAGUCUCUGUUUUCAGACUGGUUCUUCUCUUAAAUGAAGGAAAAAAUGGUCAUUAACUUUAUAGGGGCAGAAAGAAAAGGGACAAGGACUUCAGGAACUAGAGGUUCUGUCUACAUGGGGACUCAUGAUACUAUUCUCUCAACGAUAGAUCUGGAAGUUUGAUUUACCAUGAAAAAAAAACCCACACUUUUAAAUGCUUAAUUCCUGUUAAACUUAUAAAGAAAGUUGGCAUGCCAAAUAAUAAACAAAGAAUUCAGGAACCAGACUGGUGAGAAUGAUGUGAUUUGAGGGAAGAUUUUCUAAAGGCUUAAUGGGAUUUCUUCACUUUCUCUUAUUUUCUGUACCAUCUAAAUUCUAAUAACGGAAAGACUGUUAACUUUCCAUUAUUAGAGCUCCAAGCCAGUCACAAAAAGAGAAAAAAUUAAAGAGAGAAAAGAGAGAGAGAGAGAGAAAAGAAGAGCAAAAGGGAAGGGAAGAAAACAGAAAGAGAAAGGAGGGGAAGGAAGGGAAGGGAGGGGAGGGGAGAGGAGGGAAGUGAGGGAGAGCAGAGGGAAGGGGAGAGGCGAGAUGGUGAGGUGUGGAGGACAAGUUAAAUAUUAAAUUUGAACUCAAUUGAGCAUGGACACAAACAAUGGUCACCAAGUCCCAGAACAGGUUGUGUGUGCCCCUUGAGGCAUUCAUCCAGCACUGUUUCAGAGAAAUCCCUAUUUCAAUCUAUUCCUAUAUGUUAGUUAUUGAAAAACAAUAGACAAUUGUAAGAAACAAGUUGACCUUUUUUUUUUUUUUUUUUUUUUUGAGACGGAGUCUCACUCUGUCGCCCAGGCUGGAGUGCAGUGGCGCAAUCUCAGCUCACUGCAAGCUCCGCCUCCCGGGUUCACGCCAUUCUCCUGCCUCAGCCUCUCCAAGUAGUUGACCUUUUUGUGUUCCUUGAGCCAAAGGGCCCUCAUGACUGGGCCUCACACCAAAUAACUCAUUACAAAAAGAGCUAGGGUCCCAGAGUGCGCCAAAGCUUCAGGAGACCGCCCCUCAUCUGUGCACAGAUGAGUGGCCAACUCUGGAGCGCAGGUUGUUGCUUCCUAUUCUGGUGAUGAAUCCUUCAGUCUGACACAAUCAGCCCAAUGAAGGAGAAGGAGGAAAAGGAGGAGAAGAAGAAAAGAAAAAGAAAGAAAGAGAGAGGAAGAGGAAGAUGAUCAGAGUGGAAAUGUGGCCAGGCGCGGUGUCUCAUGCCUGUAAUCCCAGCACUUUGGGAGGCUGAGGAGGUGCUUAUUUAGCAAAUUCAACCUUAAACCUGAGUGCAUGGAAACUAUUGACACAGUGUCCAAGGUGGAGAAAGGUCAGAGUGGAUCCAGAGGAGCCAAGAGAAGGUGUCCAGCAUGGUGACCUGGGCUCAAGUCAAGGUCCUUAUUUCUCUGAUUUCUGUUCAGAAAACACAUCUUCAGGAAAAUCACCCCUGACUCACCCAGGCUAAGUCACAAGCAUGUUAUAAGGUCUCAUCACACCAUAUGCCUCUCUUUCAAAACCGGCACCUGCAGAAAUGUAAGUGUACAUUGAUUUAUGUAAGUAUUUGAAUUAUGACUGUUUUUGUAUAUGUCCAUGAGCUCCCUGAAGGCAUGUACUUUGUCUGCUUCCUCCUGUUUCAUAACUAUCAUGCCUAACACACAAUAACCUCUCAAUUAAUAGCCAAGUUUAUUAGUAAAAAAAAUUGACUGAAUGAAAAAGUGAAUGAACGAAAAGGUUGCUACCAACAUAGGCAUUAUAAUGAGAUGAUAUCAGUGAUCUGAGCUCUGAACAAAUUUAUGCUUCUCUUCCUGGGUACAUACCUGAAUUAUAUUUCCCAAUCUCCUUGGAGUUAAAAUACAGUGAUGUGACUUUUGAGACAGGUGACUUCCAGGUCUGGCCCUGGAAUCUCCAACACCUGCUUCUUCAAGCCCCUUUGCCCUUUUGGCUAGCUGAGAUUAAAAUCACCAUAGCAAUCUUAGAAGCAGAUGUUAAGGAUGACUUAGUUCUGUCAGCCUAGGUCCCUCAAUGAGCACAUGGAGCAGAAUCACCCAACAACAUGUUCGGCCAUCUUCAGAACCGUUAAAUUGAACAAGAAAGAAAUUUCUGAUAAGUGUGAGCCUUUAUGUAUGUGGAAUUUAUUUGUUGUAUCAGUUAGAGUUACUUGAAGUAAUACAACUCUUCCCAGUGAUCUUCAACUAGAAAAGAAUUUGGAGGGCAUGUUAGAAUCUCAUGGGGAAAGGGGCAGUUGGAAAAAUCUUCCAAAGUAUAAUCACUGUCUUAUGUACUUCAUAUAUAGUUUGCAAUAAAAGCAGAAAUUUAAAGAUAUAUUUGACUAGAUGAAAGGAUUUGUGGAGGUAUGGAACACACACAUUCACCCACAUGUGUGGACACAGAAGGCAGAUACAACAAAAAUUACGGUUCAUCACUAAUAGUGGCAGAGGAUGGGUUUUGAGCCACUUCCUUUCAAACCAACCACAACGUCAUAAGUGAUCACCAUCGUUCUAGUUCCUGUGAAGAAGAGAGAGCUGUGGAAAAAAUGCUUUAUGCCCUCAAAAAAGACAGCACAAAAUUUCAGUUUAAAAGGCUUGCCUCCUAUGUGAUUCACUAGCAAUGAAACCUUGGAAAAAUUAUUUCACCCCUCUUUUCCUUCAUUUGUUAAAAGAAAGUGUUUAAAUUUGCAACUCAGCAUUGUUUUAACGUUAUAUGAUUCAACUUAUAUAAAAGGCCUUGUGGAGAAGAGAUAAAAGUACAUCAAAGAUUAUAGCCAAAUGUUUCUUAUGCUGGAACAGAGUUAGGUACAAAGGGUUAUAGAAACAUAGCCUGCCGGGUUGAAUAGUAAAGAGGAGGGACAGAGAAGACUUAUGGUAGGAAAUAAUCCCUAAUUCCAGGGCCAAAUUUGGGAUUCAAAUAAUAGAGGCCCUAGCAAUUCUGAGGUGAUCAGGUGGACUUUCCUGGAUGUUCUGGGUCUUGACCUGAUUGCCAAAAAAUGAAUACAAAUUCAGAGAAGAAAGCUAGUAUGAGACUACCAAAUGAUCAUCAGACAUUUCUUGAACACCAAUUAAAUUGCUAGGUAUGCUAAAGUUUGCAAAACUGGUAUAGACACCAAGAGGGAGGUAUCAACAGAGACUCCCCAGGAGCUAAGAGGAAACCACCUCGGACUGGAAGUCAAGAGCCAAAAUUCUAGACUCUACUCUGUAAUUAACUACCUAUUUGAAUUUGGAAAAAUCACCAUCAACUUUCCCAGCCUCGUUCUCCGCAUCUGGGAAAUGAAGGCGUCGUCCAAAUGAUUACAAGCUUCUUUUCCUGCUCUUAUUGCAUGAUUCCACUUCCACAGCCCUCCAGCAUUUUUUAGCAGCUGCAUCGCUCCAUAGAGCCUGCAGGGGGCACUAGACUGGGAAUUAGAAAACCUGAUUUCCCUUCCAGCUCCACCUCUGACCAAUUGCGUGACCCUGGUCAAAUUGCUUAACCUCUCCGUAUCUCAGCUCCCUAUCCAUAAAACAGAGGGACGAAUAAACUCUCCUCCUACCACUAAGAGGUGUAACCAGAGUUAAUACCCUCAUCGUCCUUUGAGCUCAGCAGAUGAAAGGCACUGAGAAAAGUACGAAGAAUUUUUAUGUGCUAUUGACUUUAUUUUAUUUUAUGUGGGGGAGGGAGUCGGCCCCAGCUGGAAAGCUGCUUUCUCUGAAUCAAAGGGCAGGAACCCAGCAAGUUUCUCAGGAUUGGGGCCUUAGACUUGGCUGUGUAUACAGACAGUGCCAGCCAACCCCACAGUUCAGUUUCCUUUAACCUGGCCCUCCAGGCAAUAACUGCAACUCUGCAAUUUAACAAUGUGUUCUUUGUCCCACAACUGUUCUCGUUUCUCAACUGCCCAGGUAAUAUGUUUGGGCCUGUAGGAAGAGUCAAAUAGUUAAUAAGGGGAGGGUUUGGCAUGCCCUACGAAAGUUCUACCAGCAAGUCCCAACAAGAAGGUAUUCUGUGUCUCCUGAUUCCUGACCUACCCCCAAAAUGUACGAAUGUACAAGGAAUGAGCCCCCUUUCCCAGCAGGCUGUAAUACCAGUUUGGCCUAUAGCAAUGCAUUGGUGAGCUGUGUUUUGUUUAUGGUUUUAUGCCAUCUAUUUUCCCAUGGAUAUUAUGUUUUCUAAAGAGCCCUUAAGUUUACGUCAGCUUUUAAAGCUACCAGCAGCACCAUUUCAGUUCAUAUUAAGCCCUUAAUAUGGUAUGAAUAGGAGAGCUAUUAGACUAAAGAGCCAUAAUCACCCCUGAGGAAAACAUCCAUCACCAACCUUUAUGUGGUCCCUGAACUUCUAAAAGGUGUCAUCUCUCUGGGGUGUAUCUGGUGAGAGCUUUCUCUAGGAGAUGCCAAAAAGCCAAUGCAUUAGAUGAAGCUUGGAAGGGCAUUUUCUAACCAUUACAAAUUGCCUAGUCUAGCAUCUCAAUUUCAUCUACGUGAUGAGCCUUAAUUAAAUUUGUUGGGGUUUGAUCCUUUAUCCCCAGAUGUGGCGCUGACGGAGAUUGCUGACAUAAAUAAUGUGUGCUCCAAGUGCUUGCCAGGCUCCUGGCUCAGCUGGGACAGCUGUAGCUUUUUGAAUGUCAUUCCCAAGAUAUCCUGCAGGUGUUCAGCCUCCCCUGUUCUACUCUGGGAAGAGAGCCGUGGGCAAGAUCAGCCCAGAUGACACUAGUGCAUCUUGACAGAGCAUUCCCACUGGACAGGUGCGCUACCUGCAGACACCUCCAACAGUGAAUGCACCCCCUGGCUGCAAGUAUGGUCUCGCCAAACGGAAGGCAUUUCUUGUAUGAGUCUCGAAUCUGAUGUUCUUUAAUAAGACUUCCUCUAAAACUGUAUACACACACGCACCUGAAACGUUAUCAGACUUUUACUUAUUUGACAGUAAUAUUCCAGGAAAUGGUCCAAGUAGCAAAAUCUUCUCUCAGUGGCUUUCUCGUUCCUCAUUUCUGACUUGCUCUCCUGCUGUCUACUGGAGCCAACAAGAGAGGCAUUCUCACUGUGGAAGUUGUUAGUUCAUUACAGCCCAGGUUGAUCUCAUCUCGCUCUGGGUGGGGGUUUUAUUCUGAAGAUUGGCUGGUAAAAGCCUCCACAAAGUCUUAGCCAGAACAUUCACAGCCCUGUGUUGACUUCCGCCUCAACCCUGGCUUGAACUUAGCUGACAGCCCUAUAGAUUUGCUCAAAGGAGCUUUUCUUGCUGCAGGCAACAGAAAAGAGUGGAAAGAACACAGGCAUUGGAACCCAGGAGACCCAGGCUCACCUCUGGCUCUAGGACUUGCUCACCAUGUGAUCUCAGAUACAUGACAUCAUCGCUGAGUCUCAGUUCCCUUAUCUAUGAACCAGGGAUACUCAUACCUUCUUCACAGGACAGGAGAGGCACAUACAAGUUCAUAUCUGUCUGUCUCUCUAUUUCAAAUGAUUCUAUGACAUCAGGAACAGUUUGGCUUCCCUGGCCUGGUCUUUCAAAGGAUACACAAGGCCAUUUACAACUGGCCUGAGGAACAGAAGAAAAACUUUGGCAAAGCUGUUGCAGAAAAAACAAGGAUGAGACAUAAAAGCAAUUUUUAUUCUUUUUCUGGUGGAAAUCCAAUCAAGGAGAAGAGUGCUCCUUUGAUUCUAUAUGCUUCUAUUAUGCCCAAAGCUGAGAAACUAGUGUUUGCCCAACACAUUAGAGUCCACAUGACGAGCCCGUAUCUAUGAUGGUGUUUGAUACCGAGGCUUGAUUAGUAAGACUAAAAAAAUUGCCACCACUGCACAAGUGAGGACAGUAAACCUCAAAGGAGUCAAAUAACAGCCUAAAGUUUAUGUACAUUUAAAUGGUGGAUCAAAGAAACAAGGCUAGUCUCUGAAUCCAAAUCUGGGGUGCCUUCUCCUCUUUUAUUGCCUCUCUUGCUCCCAUUGGCCUGUGGGCAUUCAUUAUAUACUUCAGUUUGUUAAAUGUUAGGAGGAAAAUCUAAAAAGUAAAUUGCUAACACAAAACAAAUGAAAAUUCCAAAUUGAUGAUAGCCUGUUUUCUAGCACAAAAAUGACAUUAUGUCAUAUAAAAAGCUGACACCACCUGUAUUGCUAGUUGCCUCUAUCACACCUUCUUUCUGACCCUCUCUUUAGACAUAAAGAAGGGCUGGUCAUUUUUAAAUGAUCCCAUGAUCCCUGGACUCUUUGACUUCUCAAGGCUUAGACUCGUGCUUCCUGGAAUGUCCUUCAUUCCUCUCGGGCUGGUACAUUCCAAGUCUCCCUUCAGCACACAGCCUACAUGUGAAGAACACGAUCGCUGCCCUCCAGCAAGGCCGGGUAAAAAGAACCACUGCCUUAGAACCCUGCAGAUGCAACUUUAGUAAGAGCCCUUAAUCCUAGGUUUGGGACCCUGGGAAGAUUGCUUUACUUUUCUGAGAAUCAAGGGAAAAUUAUACUGUCCCUCCAGCAGUGAUGGAAGAUUAAACAAGAACAUGUAUAACAACAGCACAGCAUUGCUACUCAGUACCACUCAAGAAUUGCUACUCUACUUCCCCUCCUUCCUGCUUCCUGUGUUCUCCAGAAAAUCCUAUAUGCCCACCAAUUAUAGUGCUAAUCACACCGUAUUGCAAUCAUUUGUGUCCUUUUCACUAGACUGCUAGUAAGUUCCUCAGUGACAUGAAAACAGACAUUUUUAUCUUCAUGCCCCAGAACUCAGCUGGACAUUCAUUAGGCAUUCAAUACAUGGUGAAUGAAGAAGCCAUAUAAGAGCAGGAAGUUAUUCAGAAAAUGUUUCCCUUUCUUUGACUAGGAAAAAAGUAUGUUAUCUCUGAUUUCUAUAAACCAGCUUUGUCUGAACCUUUUGAACUUCAGGUGGCUUCAAAUGUUGGUUCUAACUGGAUGGCUCAAGCCAGCACGGAUAUCUCCAUCAGGAAUUUCCCAUCCACAUUCCACAAGCAUCUGUGCCUGUGCACAAAGUUGGAGGGUAAAUAUCUGAGUAGAGUUCCUCCUUCCUGGAUCUGCCAGCCCAGCAUGCAUGCAGUUCAACAGUUCUUAAGCUGGGCCAAGAAUCCACACAUUAUAAAACUGACAUGAAAAUAGGCACUAGCCAGAUGGAAUGGAAAUCAAGCAGCAGAUCUAAGGCAAGCAGGGAAUGGAACCAAAGAACAGUUCUCUGCCUCUCACCCCUUUGUGUCCAUCUUGUGAAAAUCUAAGUUCAUUUGAGAUCAUUAGCGGUUGGGUGACCACAAAGCCAUGAAUUAUUUACCCUCUCUUUACAUCAGUUUCCUCAUCGAUGAAAUGCAGGAAUAAUAUUUUCCAUAAAAUAGGGAUAUUAUGUGGCAAUAUCCUCACUCCAUGAAAUAUUUAUUUGGAUUAGGCUUUCCCUGUGCAGAUCCAGCCUUGAGUGACAUCCACCCUAAUUGCAAAAUAACUCUGAGAACAUUUCAUGAGUACCAUUAGGCAUCAUUGCCUCCUGCAUAACCCCAUGAAUAGGACCAUUGCAUCAUGUCACUAUUUCUUACCCCACUAUGCUGGGGAUGUUGUCUUCUAUCCUAAAAUAAGAUGUUGCGGGAUAAAGAUGCACCCUCUAUUUAAUGACUGAAAAAUGCUGGGAUUCUUUCUAGGACAGCAGCAUUCCAGGGACAGGGGCCUCGAGGAUUAUAGGGACUUAUUAUAAACUCUAGAAUGCCAAUUUCAGAAAAGGUGUGUGGCAUAAGUGUUUCUAUGGUUUAGAAGAAUACUUGAUGACAUUAUGGAAGAUGAAUUAGAGGAGGGAGACAGUGGUUGCUGAGAGAUUAAUUAAAAAGUUUUUCUAUAGAUCAGAAUGAGAGACGAUAGGAUCCUGACCUAGGCCACUAGCAAAAGGAGGAAAAAGGAGAGUAAAAUAUGUACACUUUGAAUGCAAAAGCUGCAUGGUUUGGGGACCAAAUUUACAAAUGGGAAUAGAGUAGAAAGGGAAAAGAAGCAAAAUAGCUUAUCUUAACACAAUUAAGUAUAUUCCAAGCCUCCUUUCCCUAAGAAGCCAGGAUAAACUCAUCUAUUUGUGACAAAUGUUUUGUCAAAAUAAUAUUUGUUCAAUAAGAUUUCCUUCUUAAGAUAUUUUAUCAUUUAAAUCACCCCCAGAAGAACAGAACUAAAUAGUAAAAGUGAUUUGGUCAUUAAACAAGAGGGUUAGACUGAUCAUACCAGCUCUUGAAAGCCAUUUCUGUAGUUAAUCACAUAAGAACGUUGACUCCUUAGAAUGGUUGAAAUGGUAGCAUUCCACUCAGAAAAGCCUAAUCUAAUCCUGGAGCACCAAGGUUACAAUCCUGAGGCCAAGGUUUUAAAUUCCAACUCACCCGGGACGAGUACUUUGUACAGACUUCAUCCCUAACCUAGGUGGGCCAUCUCCAAACAGAAGCUUGGGACAGUUCCAUGGUCAGCUUUUAUUUUGCAUUUUAGUAAAAUAGAAACAGUUGUCUUAUGUGUGUAGCAUUCAAACAUCUAGAAAAAAAGAAAACAAAAACUGGGUUCAAAAGCGUUGGAGUUGGUGUAUAGAAAAAAAAAAAGCAUAAAUCUCAGGAUU